GCAGCCGCUAGUGCACAAGGGCAGGGAGCCAUAGCAGUGUGUGUGUGAUUGUGAGGUUUGUGUGUAUGUGAUUGUAAUGUCUGUGUGUGUGUGUGAUUGUGAGGUCUCUCUGUGGUGUGUUCUCCCAGGUAGAUGCAGAUGUGUUGGGGUCAUUGAAUGCAGGGGUUCUACGCUGUAUAUUCUUCAUCAGAAACAUAACAAUCCUUCCUCAAUUCACCAAUGCAAUGCAGGUGGUUUUUGCCACUGGGACCUUCGAGAACGGUAAACCUGGCCUUCCCAAUGUGACCCAGCUUAUCCCAGGAGACUCAGCCACUACAGAUGGAUCGAGUCCCUGUCUGAUUAUUAUUAAUGGUGGGGGUGCACCUACUCAAGGCCUAAUGCUGCUCACAGUUAGCCUGGGUCUCAGGAUGUUGUGUGCUCCAGUCUGAAGUGGCUGCAAUUCCUUUCUGCUAAUCUUACACAGCUCUGAGCUCGGCUUGUUCAGUCUGCUAAUCUUCCACUGCUCUGAGCUCGGCUUGUUCAUUCUGCUAAUCUUCCACAGCUCUGAGCUCAGCUUGUUCAGUCUGUAUAUUAUAGGUUAUAUGUCACAGCUGCUGUAAAUAGUGUAUUUUAUCAUUUUCAAUGAUAUCAUCUUGUGCCAUUUAACAGCUGAGCCACUAUAAAAAUGAAUUAUGCAUGCAAAGAAAUUCUGCUUAUAUUCUACAUUAACUUCUACAACAGUACAGCAUAUACACUUUUUGAAAAGUCUUGUAAAGUCUUAUAUUACAAAAGUAUUAUCUUAUCUCAUCAGGGAAUAAUACAAGGCUGCCCCCUAUCAGCAUUUUGGAACCAUCUGCCGGGUUCUGCUAAUGGGCUCAGGCAUUGGCCUUAAGAACAUGUGGUACUAGUGCAGGUAAACAGGAAAAUGAACUGGCUAUGUGUGCAGA